GCCCAGAUGGCUCAGUCAGUAGAGCACAAGACUUUUAAUCUAAUGGUCCAGGGUUCAAGUCCUUGUUUGGGCA
rnacentral:tRNA from 1 species